rnacentral:rRNA from 1 species
GAUAAACGCUGGCGGCGUGCUUAACACAUGCAAGUCGAACGAAGUUUUUCCUUCGGGAGAAACUUAGUGGCGGACGGGUGAGUAACGCGUGGGUAACCUGCCCUGUACAGGGGGACAACAGCUGGAAACGGCUGCUAAUACCGCGUAAGCCCUUAGCACUGCAUGGUGUAUAGGGAAAAGGAGCAAUCCGGUACAGGAUGGACCCGCGUCUGAUUAGCCAGUUGGCAGGGUAACGGCCUACCAAAGCGACGAUCAGUAGCCGAUCUGAGAGGAUGUACGGCCACAUUGGGACUGAGACACGGCCCAGACUCCUACGGGAGGCAGCAGUGGGGAAUAUUGCACAAUGGAGGAAACUCUGAUGCAGCGACGCCGCGUGAGUGAAGAAGUAUUUCGGUAUGUAAAGCUCUAUCAGCAGGGAAGAAAAUGACGGUACCUGACUAAGAAGCACCGGCUAAAUACGUGCCAGCAGCCGCGGUAAUACGUAUGGUGCAAGCGUUAUCCGGAUUUACUGGGUGUAAAGGGAGCGUAGGUGGCAAGGCAAGCCAGAAGUGAAAACCCGGGGCUCAACCGCGGGAUUGCUUUUGGAACUGUCAUGCUAGAGUGCAGGAGGGGUGAGCGGAAUUCCUAGUGUAGCGGUGAAAUGCGUAGAUAUUAGGAGGAACACCGGAGGCGAAGGCGGCUCACUGGACUGUAACUGACACUGAGGCUCGAAAGCGUGGGGAGCAAACAGAA